CCCUAAUUCGACCCCCCCGCUUUUAUUUUAAUCUUCGAAAACAGGAAUGGAUUUAUUUUUUCCCGCUCAGACGAAGCUGGCGCAGGCUUACACAUCAAAUCGAACGGGCCUUCGGGGUAGCGCGGACGGGUGAGUACGCGUGGGACGUGCUUCUGGUCGGAAUAACCCGGGAAACUAGGGCUAAUCCGGGUUCGGCCCUUGGGGGAAAGGUUUACUGCCGGAAGACGGGCCCGCGUCUGAUUAGCAGGGGGGGGGGUAACGGCCUCCCAAGGCGACGAUCAGUAGCUGGUCUGAGAGGGAUGAUCAGCCACACUGGGACUGAGGACCCGGCCCAAACUUCUACGGGAGGCAGCAGUGGGGAAUAUUGGACAAGGCGGCAAGCCUGAGCCACCCUGGCGCGUGAAUGAUGAAAGCCCUAAGGUUGUUAAAGCUCUUUUACCCGGGCGAAAAAUGCCGGUCCCGGAGGAAAAAGCCCCGGGCUAACUUCGUCCCGGCAGCCCGGUAAUUCGAAGGGGGCCUACCGUUGCUCGGAAUUACUGGGCGUAAAGGGGCGCGUAGGCCGGCGUUUUAAGUCAGGGGUGAAAUCCCGUGGCUCAACCACAGAAUGGCCUUCGAUACUGGGACGCGAGUAUGGUAGAGGUUGGUGGAACUCCGAGUGUAGAGGUGAAAUUCGUAGAUAUUCGCAAGAACACCGGUGGCGAAGGCGACCAACUGGGCCAUACUGACGCUGAAGGUCCGUAUAGCGUGAAGGAC
rnacentral:rRNA from 1 species